GCGCUCGAUUCUGCCUUGAUCAAUGUUGACUAUGAAGCAAGAAGGAGGAGAAGGAGGAGGGGGGAACAGGCUGGCACCAGAUGGAGCAGGGUCUAGGGAAAGGUCAAGGAUUCGAAGGAAGUAUUUGAAAGUUACGAGGCUGAAGACCCACAGUCCAUGAUGCUAUGAAAAUUGUUGUAGAAAAGCACUUGUCAUUUGAGGGGAAAAUAAUUAGCCUCGCCAUAUUCGUUGAAUGUAUGCAUCUAAGGAGGAGGCAAUCCUUGGAGAAUGGAAAACACAUUCAAUAGACACUUUAAAAGUAUAGUGCCACGGCCCUGAUCCUGCAACAUGUACCAUCUGGGCAGAGUGCGGUGCGCAUGAGAGCCUUGUGCCUGUAGGCAAGAAGUUGGGAGAUCAGGACCAUAGACUAAGCUCUUAAAAGAAGGGGUGUGCAUGUGUGUGUGUUUUAAUACUAUUUAUUUAAUAAGUAUGUUGUAGAAUAAGCAUUAUUAUUAAUUAUAGCACCUAGA